rnacentral:rRNA from 1 species
UACGGGGGGGGCAAGCGUUGUUCGGAAUUACUGGGCGUAAAGGGUCUCGAGUGACGUGCCACUAAGUCAGACGUGAAAUCCCUCGACUCUAACCGGGGAACUGCGUCUGAUACUGGGAGUUGGCUUGAGUUGGGAGAGGGAAUGCGGAAUUCCAGGUGUAGCGGUGAAAUGCGUAGAUAUCAAGUGGAACACCAGUGGCGAAGGCGAGUCCCUGGACAACUCCUGACACUGAGGCACGAAAGCUAGGGGAGCAAACAGG